UUGAUGUCGCAUCAUCUGCUGC
rnacentral:siRNA from 1 species